AAAAGAAAACUUGUUUUACUCAAACCACAUCACCUUUUUAUUUUACAAAUUAAAUUAUAAAAUUAUAUUUGACAAAUGUGCUAAUUUUUUAAGUAAUUAUCCAUUUUCUAUUAAUAACACUCGCGGUUUGCUCUACUUUUCUUUUGCGCUCAAAAAACAAAACCAAGUCAUUUUGCUUGCCCAGUUGCAAUUGCCCUAACCGCGCAGCCCGACGGAGCGGUUGCAGUUCUCCUCCAGAUCGACCUUUCUCUCCGGCUCGUUCUCAACAGACUUCUUUUUUCAGAUUUGUUUGCGUAAAGCUUGGCUGGUAAGUUUUCCAUUGCAAGAUGACUGGAAUUCUGGGAUUCAUGAACCUUUCACCCAAGAAUAAGAAUUUGGUAGUUGCUGGUGGCUUGUCCGUAUUUGUUUUUGGGGUAUAUUUUUACACUAUGAGAGCUGUUGGUGGUACAGAUGAGCUUCAGGUUGCUAUAGAUAAGUUUGAAGGGCAGAAAAGCAAGCAGGAUGCUUGAGCAUGAAACUAAAGGCUUGAUCUUGUGAUCAUUGGUGUAAUAAUGUAAUCGGUCAGACUGAGGAUAACCUUUUGGGAAAGCUGUUCUUUUCUUUGCAAGCAUACAUUUUAGUUUGAUCCGUAUGGAAAAUUGAAAAAUGAAAAGAAGCUAGCUAGUUCUCUCAA